rnacentral:sRNA from 1 species
AGAAGUUUGAACCAUAUAUAUAUACCCAUAUACAGACUCACAAUUUUUUUGCCGUUUCUUAUUUUGUGCCGAAGCUAUUUAUAAAUCACAGGCUGAAACAUCCGCUGAUAUUUUUUCUUCUGUGGUUU